rnacentral:rRNA from 1 species
CCCCUAGAUGUUCUGGGCCGCACGCGCGCUACACUGAACAGUUCAACAAGUCUUAACCUUGGCCGAUAGGUCUGGGUAAUCUUUGAACGCUGUUCGUGAUUGGGAUAGACCUUUGCAAUUAUGGGUCUUCAACGAGGAAUUCCUAGUAAACGCAAGUCAUCAGCUUGCAUUGAUUGCGUCCCUGCCCUUUGUACACACCGCCCGUCGCACCUACCGAUUGAAUGGUCCGGUGAAAUCUCGGGACGGCGGCUUGGUCGCUUGCGUCCGACUGCUGAAACUUGAUUAAACCAUAUCAUUUAGAGGAAGGUGAANUCGUANCA